CCAGUCAGUCUGCGGCUGUGGCUGCAGAUAAGCUCCUCAUGGAGAAACUGCAAAGAUGCUGUCUGUGAGCAUAGGUGCGACUGUGGACGGCACCCUCCCUUGGUGGGCGGGGCUGGUCUCCAAAAAUGCUUUGGGUUCAUCUUUCAUUGCUGCAAGGAACCUCCAUGCCUCUCACACUCAUCUUCAGAAGACUGGCACUGCCGGGAUGUCAUCUAUUCUUGAAGAGCGUAUUCUUGGAGCCGAUACCUUUGUUGACCUUGAGGAGACUGGGCGUGUCUUAAGUAUUGGUGAGGGUAUUGCCGGAGUACGUGGGCGGAGGAAUGUUCAAGCAGAAGAAAUGGUAGAAUUUUCUUCAGGCUUAAAGAGUAUGUGUCUGAACUUGGAAGUUGACAAUGUUGGUGUUGUUGUGUUUGGAAAUGAUAAGUGAGAUAAGGAAGGAAUUAAGGAAGGAGAUAUUGGGAAGAGGACAGGAGCCAUCGUGGAUGUUCCAGUUGGAGAGGAGCUGUUGGAUCAUGUGGUAGAUGCGCUUGGCAAUACCAUUGAUGGAAAGGGUCCAGUUGGUUCUAAGACCCAGAGAAGAGUUGGCCUGAAAGCCCCUGGAAUCAUUCCUUGAGUCUCUGUGCAGGAACCAAUGCAGACUGGCAUUAAGGCUGUGGAUAGCUUGAUGCCAAUUAGUCGUGGUCAGCGUGAGCUCAUUAUUGGUGACAGACAGACUGGGAAAAUUUCAAUUGCUAUUAGCACAAUCAUUAACCAGAAACGAUUUAAUGAUGGAUCUGGUGAAAAGAAAAAGCUAUAUUGUAACUAUGUUGCUACUGGUCAGAAGAGAUCCACUGUUGCCCAGUUGAAGAGACUUACAGAUGCAGAUGCCAUGAAGUACACCACUGUGGUGUCAGCUACAGCUUCUGAUGCUGCCCUACUGCAGUACCUGGCUCCUUACUCUGGCUGUUCCAUGGGAGAGUAUUUUAGAGAUAAUGGCAAACAUGCUUUGAUUAUCUAUGACGACUUAUCUAAACAGGCUGCUGCUUGCCGUCAGAUGUCUCUGUUGCUCUGCUGACCUCCUGAUCAUGAGGCCUAUUCUACACGAUCGUGAUGUAUUCUCCCUACACUCCCAGUUGCUGGAGAGAGCAGCCAAAAUGAAUGAUUCUUUUGGUGGUGGCUCUUUGACUGCUUUACCAGUUAUAGAAACACAGGCUGGUGAUGUGUCUGCUUACAUUCCAACAAACAUCAUUUCCGUCAUUGAUGGACAGAUCUUCUUGGAAACAGAAUUGUUCUUCAAGGGUAUCCGCCCUGCCAUUAAUGUUGGUUUGUCUGUGUCUCGUGUUGGAUCUGCUGCCCAAACCAGGGCAAUGAAGCAGGUGGCAGGUACCAUGAAGCUGGAAUUGGCUCAAUAUCAUGAGGUUGUUUCUUUUGCCCAGUUUGGUUCUGACCUUGAUGUUGCCAUGCAACAAUUCUUGAGUCGUGGUGUGCAUUCAACUGUAUUGCUGAAGCAAGGACAAUAUGCUCCUAUGGCUAUUGAAGAACAAGUGGCUGUGAUCUAUGCAGGCAUAAGAGAGUAUCAAGAGAGUAUCUUGAUAAACUGGAGCCCAGCAAGACCACAAAGUUUGAGAAUGCUUUCUUGUCUCAUGUUGUCAGCCAACACCAAGCCCUGUUGGGCAUUAUCAGGGCUGAUGGAAAGAUCUUGGAAGAGUCAGAUGCAAGGCUGAAAGAGAUUGUAACAAACCUCUUGGCUGGAUUUGAAGUAUAAAUUGCUAUGGAUUUAUAUCAGCUACUGAUUUGGUUUUGUCAUUGUUUCUUCUAGUAAAUCAUUUUCAUUUGUAAAAGUAUUACUGUCAUACUCCCAUUGUACAUAAAUCACGUUAAAAAUAAAGGUUCC